GUUAACCCCAAAGAGCAUCGACAAGUCCCAUCCAUUUCACCCAAAGUAGAAGCAAAACAAACAUCUUUCUCCUUCUCCUUUCUUUCUCCUUUUCUCAACCCUCCAAAUGAAGAAAACCCUAAAUCCAUCGCUAGUUGGCCGUCUGCCACCCCUCCUGCGAGAAUCCCCCCAAAUCAUCCCCUCCAGCUCGCAAAUCCCUCAGGAGCAGGAAAAAUCAGUUCCGAAUGAGUGAAAAUAAUUUAAAAUGGUUCAAUCUAUCAUUUAAUAGUUCUGAAAAGUUGAGUUGUGGGGAGAGAAGGUUUUGAUUCGAGUUCAAAAUUUAAGUUCUUUUUUCCACACUUAUUUAUUUUGGGGUUUCAAAUCCGGAUUUUCGAAUCCAGAUUUGGCUAUAUAUAUGUGUAUCGUUCACCCAAUGAAAACAAGGUAGAAGAUCUGAGAGAAAGAAGGUGAAAGAUUUGUGAGAAAGAAGGUAGAAAAUUAGACAGAAAAGGUGAAAGAAAAUUCGUGAGAGGAAAAUAAUCGAGUGAAAAAGCAAAACAAAACAAAACAAAAAGCGAAACAGAGGGAAAUUUGGUUUUAAAAAUCUGAGCUUGCUAUUCUCUUUCCGAUUUGGUCCAAAUUCGGGUUUCCGUGGUUGAGUGCGAAGUUGCCAAAAAACUUUGACAUUGAAACCCGAGUUUGCUUCCCAAAAUAAGAAAGGAACCAAUCCUUUUAUUCACUUUCAUCUUUUUCUUUCGCCUAUUCUUGACUAUGUGAAUAUGUGGUUUGACUCGAUUCAAGAUUAGAUGUAGUUUGCUGGUAGUUUUUCACGAAUUGAGUCUAAACCUGUUCCUGCUAAUUUGGAUUCAGGGCUGUUGGAGGCAAAAUGGUGUGAAAACCGUUUUAUUCCCUAUAUUUCUGUUUGGAUAUGUAUAUGUGAUAUGUGUGUUUGCUCAUUUUUUUAAAUUUUUUGUUUGUGAUUUUGUUAUGUCUCUAUUGUUUUCCCGUGAUUUUAUGGAUAAGAAUAUAUUUUGGUUCUGAAAAUUAUUUUGGCUAUGGAUAUGUAAGAAUGAAAAUAUGUGAUCUCUUGAUGGCUUCAAGUUUGGUCAUGUUGUCGUUGGUUGGGUGGGUUCAUGGAGUUGGUUCCAUUUUGAUUCCCCUUUUCGUUCAAAAUAUUGUCAUCUCGUGAUCAAGAUAUACGAUAUAUUUUGUUCUAGGUGUUGAGUAAAAAUGUAAGGAAUUAGUUAUACAUUUACUUAAAUAUGCAUUUCAGCACUUAUAGUUUUCCCAAGAUUUUAGUUACUGCUUGGAAAUAUUAUUUGAAUGAAGUUUUGUUCGACUUCUAUUUUUUAAAACAUGCACCAAUUAGCUUUAUUUGUGUGAUGGUUUACCAGGACCCUGUUCAAGUUUACUUAAUUUCUUUACAUAUUACUUAAUCCUAGCAUUAGAUGUUUAAGUUGUUCAGUUACAGAAUUGCACAAUAUUUUAUUACCUAUUCACUUCGUUCAAGAUUGGUUACUAAUCCUUAUAUUUUUCUUUUUUACAUGUGAUCUCGGGAGUUGGAGUUUCAAUCGAAACUCGCCUUGACCCAACAUCGGCUCAACUACAGUUAGGAUCGUCAAUGCUCGGAGUCUACACCGUUAUAUAUAUAUAUAUAUAUAUAUAUAUAUAUAUAGGAAUAGCUUAGCAUAUUAUUAUGAUUGGUUUUACUACUACGAAUAUGUUGUUUAUGAGGUUGAUUAAAAGUGAUUAACUUCACUUUAUUCUGUACAAAUCUUAAUCUCCCAGAAUUGAUUUCGUCCAGUCAUCAUUUUCUUCAUUAGGUGCUUAUCAACUUAAUAAUGAUAAAUUAUCUAACAUUCAGAUGUUUUAUAUUUUACAUCUCUAGAGCAAUCUGUUAAAGUAAGAGGCAAGUCUCGGGUUCUUUGAUGAUCCGAUACAAAAACUUUUGUAAAAAGGGGUUUAAAUAUCUAUCAAUAGUCUCCAUCUGAAAAUAAUUAGUUGAUAUUUUGUCACCCUAAUUAGAAUUGUUCUAGGUAAAUUGUCAAGAGAGUUUCUAGUCAAGUCCUUUUAAAAGUUUACUAAUAAUUCACUAGCCAAUUUAAG
rnacentral:lncRNA from 1 species